AUGAACGCUAGCGGCAGGCUUAAUACAUGCAAGUCGUGGGGCAGCACAGGGUAGCAAUACUUGGGUGGCGACCGGCAAACGGGUGCGGAACACGUACGCAACCUUCCUUCAGGCGGGGAAUAGCCCAGAGAAAUUUGGAUUAAUACCCCAUAAGAUUUUGAGAUGGCAUCAUCUUAUUAUUAAAGAUUUAUCACCUGAAGAUGGGCGUGCGGCUGAUUAGGUAGUUGGCGGGGUAACGGCCCACCAAGCCUACGAUCAGUAGCUGAUGUGAGAGCAUGAUCAGCCACACGGGCACUGAGACACGGGCCCGACUCCUACGGGAGGCAGCAGUAAGGAAUAUUGCGCAAUGGGGGCGAACCCUGACGCAGCAACGCCGCGUGAGCGAGGAAGGUUUUCGGUACUGUAAAGCUCUGUCGAGCGGGAAGAAGUGUACCAUGGCUAAUAUCCAUGAUAUUUGUACGGUACCGCUAGAGGAAGCACCGGCUAACUCCGUG
rnacentral:rRNA from 1 species